GGGGAGUUAGUGUUAGCGGCAGCACGUUUGUUUUGCAAGCAAAUAGGAGGGGUUCGAAUCCCCUACUUUCCAC
rnacentral:tRNA from 1 species